GUACACUCCUGCGGGAGGCAGCAGUGGGGAAUAUUGCACAAUGGGCGCAAGCCUGAUGCAGCCAUGCCGCGUGUAUGAAGAAGGCCUUCGGGUUGUAAAGUACUUUCAGCGGGGAGGAAGGCGAUAAGGUUAAUAACCUUGUUGAUUGACGUUACCCGCAGAAGAAGCACCGGCUAACUCCGUGCCAGCAGCCGCGGUAAUACGGAGGGUGCAAGCGUUAAUCGGAAUUACUGGGCGUAAAGCGCACGCAGGCGGUCUGUCAAGUCGGAUGUGAAAUCCCCGGGCUCAACCUGGGAACUGCAUUCGAAACUGGCAGGCUAGAGUCUUGUAGAGGGGGGUAGAAUUCCAGGUGUAGCGGUGAAAUGCGUAGAGAUCUGGAGGAAUACCGGUGGCGAAGGCGGCCCCCUGGACAAAGACUGACGCUCAGGUGCGAAAGCGUGGGGAGCAAACAGGAUUAGAAACCCUAGUAGUCCCAUGA
rnacentral:rRNA from 1 species